GGACGGGUGAGUAAUGCCUAGGAAUCUGCCUGGUAGUGGGGGACAACGUUUCGAAAGGAACGCUAAUACCGCAUACGUCCUACGGGAGAAAGCAGGGGACCUUCGGGCCUUGCGCUAUCAGAUGAGCCUAGGUCGGAUUAGCUAGUUGGUGGGGUAAUGGCUCACCAAGGCGACGAUCCGUAACUGGUCUGAGAGGAUGAUCAGUCACACUGGAACUGAGACACGGUCCAGACUCCUACGGGAGGCAGCAGUGGGGAAUAUUGGACAAUGGGCGAAAGCCUGAUCCAGCCAUGCCGCGUGUGUGAAGAAGGUCUUCGGAUUGUAAAGCACUUUAAGUUGGGAGGAAGGGCAGUAAGCUAAUACCUUGCUGUUUUGACGUUACCGACAGAAUAAGCACCGGCUAACUCUGUGCCAGCAGCCGCGGUAAUACAGAGGGUGCAAGCGUUAAUCGGAAUUACUGGGCGUAAAGCGCGCGUAGGUGGUUUGUUAAGUUGGAUGUGAAAGCCCCGGGCUCAACCUGGGAACUGCAUCCAAAACUGGCAAGCUAGAGUACGGUAGAGGGUGGUGGAAUUUCCUGUGUAGCGGUGAAAUGCGUAGAUAUAGGAAGGAACACCAGUGGCGAAGGCGACCACCUGGACUGAUACUGACACUGAGGUGCGAAAGCGUGGGGAGCAAACAGGAUUAGA
rnacentral:rRNA from 1 species